GGAGGAGUGUCCGAGUGGCCGAUGGUGUCUGAUUCGAAAUCAGAUGUACCGCAAGGUACCGGGGGUUCAAAUCCCUCCUCCUCCG
rnacentral:tRNA from 1 species